rnacentral:rRNA from 1 species
CGCAAGCCUGACGGCGCAAGACCGCGUGGGGGAGGAAGGCUCUAGGGUUGUAAACCCCUUUUCUUUGGGAAGAACAAAAUGACGGUACCAAAGGAAUCAGCCUCGGCUAACUCCGUGCCAGCAGCCGCGGUAAUACGGAGGAGGCAAGCGUUAUCCGGAAUGAUUGGGCGUAAAGCGUCCGCAGGUGGCAAUGUAAGUCUGCUGUCAAAACCCAGGGCUCAACUCUGGUCAGGCAGUGGAAACUACAUAGCUAGAGUUCGGUAGGGGCAAAGGGAAUUCCCGGUGUAGCGGUGAAAUGCGUAGAGAUUGGGAAGAACACCGGUGGCGAAAGCGCCCUACUGGGCCAUAACGGACACUGAGGGACGAAAGCUAGGGUAGCG